CACAGUCUUAAACUAAAUUAACUUUAUAGAGGAUAGUUCUAUCAGUUCCAAACUUUCUCGCUCGAAGUUCAGUAAGGACCACCCUUAAACCUUCCCUUCUUCACCCCUCACAGCCAAAUAUAUAUUUUGUUUCUUUUCUUAAAUUUGCCUUUUCUUCAACUUGCUAUCACAUAUGUUAUCACCAGUGGUGUAGGUUUAAGAACGUUUACAUCACAUUCACUGCAGUCACCAGGAU